rnacentral:rRNA from 1 species
UACGAAGGGGGCUAGCGUUGCUCGGAAUUACUGGGCGUAAAGCGCACGUAGGCGGUCUUUUAAGUCGGGGGUGAAAUCCUGGAGCUCAACUCCAGAACUGCCUUGAUACUGGAAGAUCUUGAGUUCGGGAGAGGUGAGUGGAACUGCGAGUGUAGAGGUGAAAUUCGUAGAUAUUCGCAAGAACACCAGUGGCGAAGGCGGCUGUCUGGUCCGGUUCUGACGCUGAGGCGCGAAAGCGUAGGGAGCAAACAGG